UGUUCGAGAGAUCAAGCAUUCGUAACUCGCGCAGACCACGAAGUGACGUGAAUGAAAAUUCACGAAGCUCGUUGUGCGUCAAAUUUAAACACUUGAGCGAUCUAAGAGGACGAUCGAAAAUGCUUAUCAAACGUCGAAUGACAAAGAAGACCAUCAAAUACCAGCCGUCCAUUGCAA